rnacentral:rRNA from 2 species
AGCGAACGCUGGCGGCAGGCUUAACACAUGCAAGUCGAGCGGGCGUAGCAAUACGUCAGCGGCAGACGGGUGAGUAACGCGUGGGAACGUACCUUUUGGUUCGGAACAACACAGGGAAACUUGUGCUAAUACCGGAUAAGCCCUUACGGGGAAAGAUUUAUCGCCGAAAGAUCGGCCCGCGUCUGAUUAGCUAGUUGGUGAGGUAAUGGCUCACCAAGGCGACGAUCAGUAGCUGGUCUGAGAGGAUGAUCAGCCACAUUGGGACUGAGACACGGCCCAAACUCCUACGGGAGGCAGCAGUGGGGAAUAUUGGACAAUGGGCGCAAGCCUGAUCCAGCCAUGCCGCGUGAGUGAUGAAGGCCCUAGGGUUGUAAAGCUCUUUUGUGCGGGAAGAUAAUGACGGUACCGCAAGAAUAAGCCCCGGCUAACUUCGUGCCAGCAGCCGCGGUAAUACGAAGGGGGCUAGCGUUGCUUGGAAUCACUGGGCGUAAAGGGCGCGUAGGCGGGUCUUUAAGUCAGGGGUGAAAUCCUGGAGCUCAACUCCAGAACUGCCUUUGAUACUGAGGAUCUUGAGUUCGGGAGAGGUGAGUGGAACUGCGAGUGUAGAGGUGAAAUUCGUAGAUAUUCGCAAGAACACCAGUGGCGAAGGCGGCUCACUGGCCCGAUACUGACGCUGAGGCA